UACGUAGGGUGCAAGCGUUACUCGGAAUUACUGGGCGUAAAGCGUGCGCAGGCGGUUUUGUAAGUCUGACGUGAAAUCCCCGGGCUCAACCUGGGAAUUGCGAUGGAGACUGCAAGGCUGGAGUCUGGCAGAGGGGGGUAGAAUUCCACGUGUAGCAGUGAAAUGCGUAGAGAUGUGGAGGAACACCGAUGGCGAAGGCAGCCCCCUGGGUCAAGACUGACGCUCAUGCACGAAAGCGUGGGGAGCAAACAGG
rnacentral:rRNA from 1 species